rnacentral:misc_RNA from 1 species
AUUUCAAGUAAUUAAAUCCAUUCAAGGGGAACAAUUGCGAAUGUAAGGAUUGCACUUUUGCUUAGGAGAUCCAGGGAUGCAAUAUCGUUUACCGGGGCCGCAGGCGAAUCGAGGACCUUUCUCAGCUAAUUCUCGAGCUCCAGCAACGGACACCGAGGGAGAGAACAAGAUGGUAACCAAGAGAAUGCAUAUAAUGAGAAAACCCUUCAUGUUUAAGAUCAUAGAUAUUCUUCAG